UUAAGUUAUUAAGGGCGCACGGUGGAUGCCUUGGCACUAGAAGCCGAUGAAGGACGUUACUAACGACGAUAUGCUUUGGGGAGCUGUAAGUAAGCUUUGAUCCAGAGAUUUCCGAAUGGGGAAAUCCAGCAUGAGUUAUGUCAUGUUAUCGAUAUGUGAAUACAUAGCAUAUCAGAAGGCACACCCGGAGAACUGAAACAUCUUAGUACCCGGAGGAAGAAAAAGAAAAUUCGAUUCCCUUAGUAGCGGCGAGCGAAACGGGAAGAGCCCAAACCAACAAGCUUGCUUGUUGGGGUUGUAGGACACUCUAUACGGAGUUACAAAGGACGACAUUAGACGAAUCAUCUGGAAAGAUGAAUCAAAGAAGGUAAUAAUCCUGUAGUCGAAAAUGUUGUCUCUCUUGAGUGGAUCCUGAGUACGACGGAACACGUGAAAUUCCGUCGGAAUCUGGGAGGACCAUCUCCUAAGGCUAAAUACUCUCUAGUGACCGAUAGUGAACCAGUACCGUGAGGGAAAGGUGAAAAGCACCCCGGAAGGGGAGUGAAAUAGAACCUGAAACCGUGUGCUUACAAGUAGUCAGAGCCCGUUAAUGGGUGAUGGCGUGCCUUUUGUAGAAUGAACCGGCGAGUUACGAUUUGAUGCAAGGUUAAGCAGUAAAUGUGGAGCCGUAGCGAAAGCGAGUCUGAAUAGGGCGUUUAGUAUUUGGUCGUAGACCCGAAACCAGGUGAUCUACCCUUGGUCAGGUUGAAGUUCAGGUAACACUGAAUGGAGGACCGAACCGACUUACGUUGAAAAGUGAGCGGAUGAACUGAGGGUAGCGGAGAAAUUCCAAUCGAACCUGGAGAUAGCUGGUUCUCUCCGAAAUAGCUUUAGGGCUAGCCUCAAGUGAUGAUUAUUGGAGGUAGAGCACUGUUUGGACGAGGGGCCCCUCUCGGGUUACCGAAUUCAGACAAACUCCGAAUGCCAAUUAAUUUAACUUGGGAGUCAGAACAUGGGUGAUAAGGUCCGUGUUCGAAAGGGAAACAGCCCAGACCACCAGCUAAGGUCCCAAAAUAUAUGUUAAGUGGAAAAGGAUGUGGCGUUGCCCAGACAACUAGGAUGUUGGCUUAGAAGCAGCCAUCAUUUAAAGAGUGCGUAAUAGCUCACUAGUCGAGUGACACUGCGCCGAAAAUGUACCGGGGCUAAACAUAUUACCGAAGCUGUGGAUUGUCCUUUGGACAAUGGUAGGAGAGCGUUCUAAGGGCGUUGAAGCAUGAUCGUAAGGACAUGUGGAGCGCUUAGAAGUGAGAAUGCCGGUGUGAGUAGCGAAAGACGGGUGAGAAUCCCGUCCACCGAUUGACUAAGGUUUCCAGAGGAAGGCUCGUCCGCUCUGGGUUAGUCGGGUCCUAAGCUGAGGCCGACAGGCGUAGGCGAUGGAUAACAGGUUGAUAUUCCUGUACCACCUAUAAUCGUUUUAAUCGAUGGGGGGACGCAGUAGGAUAGGCGAAGCGUGCGAUUGGAUUGCACGUCUAAGCAGUAAGGCUGAGUAUUAGGCAAAUCCGGUACUCGUUAAGGCUGAGCUGUGAUGGGGAGAAGACAUUGAGUCUUCGAGUCGUUGAUUUCACACUGCCGAGAAAAGCCUCUAGAUAGAAAAUAGGUGCCCGUACCGCAAACCGACACAGGUAGUCAAGAUGAGAAUUCUAAGGUGAGCGAGCGAACUCUCGUUAAGGAACUCGGCAAAAUGACCCCGUAACUUCGGGAGAAGGGGUGCUCUUUAGGGUUAACGCCCAGAAGAGCCGCAGUGAAUAGGCCCAAGCGACUGUUUAUCAAAAACACAGGUCUCUGCUAAACCGUAAGGUGAUGUAUAGGGGCUGACGCCUGCCCGGUGCUGGAAGGUUAAGAGGAGUGGUUAGCUUCUGCGAAGCUACGAAUCGAAGCCCCAGUAAACGGCGGCCGUAACUAUAACGGUCCUAAGGUAGCGAAAUUCCUUGUCGGGUAAGUUCCGACCCGCACGAAAGGCGUAACGAUUUGGGCACUGUCUCAACGAGAGACUCGGUGAAAUCAUAGUACCUGUGAAGAUGCAGGUUACCCGCGACAGGACGGAAAGACCCCGUGGAGCUUUACUGUAGCCUGAUAUUGAAAUUCGGCACAGCUUGUACAGGAUAGGUAGGAGCCUUUGAAACGUGAGCGCUAGCUUACGUGGAGGCGCUGGUGGGAUACUACCCUAGCUGUGUUGGCUUUCUAACCCGCACCACUUAUCGUGGUGGGAGACAGUGUCAGGCGGGCAGUUUGACUGGGGCGGUCGCCUCCUAAAAGGUAACGGAGGCGCUCAAAGGUUCCCUCAGAAUGGUUGGAAAUCAUUCAUAGAGUGUAAAGGCAUAAGGGAGCUUGACUGCGAGACCUACAAGUCGAGCAGGGUCGAAAGACGGACUUAGUGAUCCGGUGGUUCCGCAUGGAAGGGCCAUCGCUCAACGGAUAAAAGCUACCCCGGGGAUAACAGGCUUAUCUCCCCCAAGAGUUCACAUCGACGGGGAGGUUUGGCACCUCGAUGUCGGCUCAUCGCAUCCUGGGGCUGUAGUCGGUCCCAAGGGUUGGGCUGUUCGCCCAUUAAAGCGGUACGCGAGCUGGGUUCAGAACGUCGUGAGACAGUUCGGUCCCUAUCCGUCGUGGGCGUAGGAAAUUUGAGAGGAGCUGUCCUUAGUACGAGAGGACCGGGAUGGACAUACCUCUGGUGUACCAGUUGUCGUGCCAACGGCAUAGCUGGGUAGCUAUGUGUGGACGGGAUAAGUGCUGAAAGCAUCUAAGCAUGAAGCCCCCCUCAAGAUGAGAUUUCCCAACUUCGGUUAUAAGAUCCCUCAAAGAUGAUGAGGUUAAUAGGUUCGAGGUGGAAGCAUGGUGACAUGUGGAGCUGACGAAUACUAAUCGAUCGAAGACUUAAUCAA
rnacentral:rRNA from 1 species